CCUACGGGAGGCAGCAGUGAGGAAUAUUGGUCAAUGGCCGGAAGGCUGAACCAGCCAAGCCGCGUGAAGGACGAAGGUGCCAAGCAUUGUAAACUUCUUUUGUCAAGGGACAAAAUCAGGCUCGAGAGCCUGACCGAGGGUACUUGAAGAAAAAGCAUCGGCUAACUCCGUGCCAGCAGCCGCGGUAAUACGGAGGAUGCGAGCGUUAUCCGGAUUUAUUGGGUUUAAAGGGUGCGUAGGCGGACUGUUAAGUCAGCGGUAAAAGCCCGGGGCCCAACCCCGGCGAGCCGUUGAAACUGGGGGUCUUGAGAUGUCGAGAGGUAUGCGGAAUGCGCAGUGUAGCGGUGAAAUGCUUAGAUAUUGCGCAGAACUCCGAUUGCGAAGGCAGCAUACCGGCGGCGAUCUGACGCUGAGGCACGAAAGCGUGGGUAUCGAACAGGAUUAGAUACCCGUGUAGUC
rnacentral:rRNA from 1 species